CCUAGGUUUCGAGACGAAUUCAAUAAAUUGACGCAUGCGCUAUGACAUUUGAUGGGAGCGGGGGAGUCUGCGCUUGUGUCUCCGCCGCGCCCACUUCGACUUCGGCGGCGGAGGCGGCUGGUGCGAUGCGGGACUCUGAGCAGAUUCUAGCCAAGCAGCCUGCAGCAUUUGGUGGUUGAAGAUCUACAACCAGAUGCAGUGGAGUCCGGCGCUGCGAGGAUGUCAUGGAACUAAUUCAGGCCUAUGAGUAUCUUUCUCGUUGCUUUUGUGUCAUCGGUGUUAUUGAAUGAUUAUAUGUGUAGGUCAGAUGGCAGUGGCUUCCAACAACCAGCCGGCCAAGUUAGCCUGGCCGUUUCGUUGACUGGGGACUCAGCGCGGCGCGGAUCACCAGCUAAACACGGGAUUAAACAAACGAAAAGUGCUGCGCACGCGCAGCCGGUGCGGGCUCCGUGCGCGACAGUGCCGCCCCUAUGCGGUGCGCGGGUGGGUCUUGUCUAAGACCCGCCUACUUUGAAGAUUCGUCAAGAAAUAAGUGCUGUGUGUGAAGUGCGCAUGCGCAAUGUGCAUAAGUCUUUGUAGUGUUGUGCGUGUCUAAGUGCGGUUUCCCCCUUCUGAAACGAUGCCCUUAUCAAUCGAAAAUUACCAAUAUAAAAACACUAAGCUUUAGAUACGAACAAUAAGAUAAUAGAAAUAAGCUAAAAUAAGCUAUAUUUAAGUUAAUAGUAAUACCGGUAUUAAGUAAUUAUGAGUCGUACGACUUCAAACUAAUGUUAAGAUUUAAAAAUAUUGCAAAAUUUUUAUAAGUUUGCAAUCCUAUAGAAGGCCUUCUAAAAUGCGGUUUAAUUUAUAAUUUUAUCAAUUUAACAAUUCAAGUGGCAUCGUUUUUAAAGAAAUUUUAUCUUCACAUUUCACAUUUCCGAGCAAAAAAGUAAGUCAUUAACAAAGUUUUUUUUAAAUUACGUACAUUUUUAAAUCUAACAAGUAUAUGAAAUAAUAUAAUUAAACAUUUAAAUAAAUCUAUUCCCACGUGUAUUCCUAAAUAUACCUUCACUAGCUGUUGCCCAAGACUCCGUCCGCGCGAAAUAAAAAAAAACAUGUAAUAAGUAACGUAACGGUAUUCUUACGAUGAAGGAAAACAUGGCGAUGCAACCUGCACAUAUCUGUGAAGAAAUUCAAAAGAUAUUUGUAAAGUCAACUUAGCUGCACAUGGCCAACGUGGUUGACUAUCACCUAGUCACCCCUAACUUAGGGUAGGCUCCGAGCCCCUCGGUGUUAAAGUAGCCUAAGUGUUCUUCCAAUCUGUUCUCCAUCUGUGCCAAAAUUCAUCAAGAUCUCCGUUGCGGAGAUACCUUCGAACAAACAUCCAUUCAUCCAUCUAAACAUUCGCAUUUAUAACAUUAAUAAUAUAACAAGCUGUCGCCCGCGACUCCGUCCACGCGGAAUUAACAAAAAGCUCAACUAGUAUGCCUAAUUGUUCUUCCUGACUGUGUUCUACAUCUAUGCCAUAUUACAGCAAGAUCCAUCGAGCCAUUCUGAAGAUACCUUCAAA